GAUGAACGCUAGCGGCAGGCCUAAUACAUGCAAGACGAACGGUAAGUUGAGUAGCAAUACUUAGCCAAGAGUGUCGUACGGGUGCGUAACACGUAUGCAACCUACCCUAUACAGGAGGAUAGCCUAGGGAAACCUGGAUUAACCCUUCAUAGUAUUAUUGGAUGGCAUCAUUUGAUAAUUAAAACUGAGGUGGUAUAGGAUGGGCAUGCGUCUGAUUAGUUAGUUGGCGGGGUAAUGGCCCACCAAGACGAUGAUCAGUAGGGGUUCUGAGAGGAAGAUCCCCCACACUGGCACUGAGAUACGGGCCAGACUCCUACGGGAGCAGCAGUAGGGAAUAUUGGUCAAUGGAUGCAAGUCUGAACCAGCCAUGCCGCGUGCAGGAAGAAGGCCUUCUGGGUUGUAAACUGCUUUUGCCAGGGGAUAAAAUUUCCAUGCGUGGAAAACUGAAGGUACCUGGUGAAUAAGCCACGGGCUAACUACGUGCCAGCAGCCG
rnacentral:rRNA from 1 species